rnacentral:rRNA from 1 species
AGAGUUUGAUCCUGGCUCAGGACGAACGCUGGCGGCAUGCUUAACACAUGCAAGUGGUGCGACGAACCUUUUAGGGGCAAAGCCGCGAACGGGUGAGUAACACGUGGGCAAUCUGCCCAGNUAGACCGGAAUAACUCAAGGAAACCUGAGCUAAUACCGGAUGUGCCGUACUUCCAUCAGGAGGUCCGGUAAAGAGAGCUUCGGCUAUUCGCUAUUGGAGGAGCCUGCGGAGUAUUAGGUAGUUGGUGGGGUAAAGGCCUACCAAGCCGACGAUACUUAGCUGGUCUGAGAGGACGAUCAGCCACACUGGAACUGAGACACGGUCCAGACUCCUACGGGAGGCAGCAGUGGGGAAUCUUGCACAAUGGGCGACAGCCUGAUGCAGCAAUGCCGCGUGAGGGAAGACGGCCUUCGGGUUGUAAACCUCUUUCAGUUGGGAUGAAGGUUGGACGGUGAAUAGCCGCGCCAACUGACCGUACCUUCAGAAGAAGCUCCGGCUAACUACGUGCCAGCAGCCGCGGUAAUACGUAGGGAGCAAGCGUUGUCCGGAAUCAUUGGGCGUAAAGCGCGUGUAGGCGGUUACAUAAGUCUGUUGUGAAAGUCGGAGGCUCAACCUUCGAAAGCCGAUGGAUACUGUGUGACUUGAGUACGGAAGAGGAGAGUGGAAUUCCUGGUGUAGCGG